rnacentral:lncRNA from 1 species
CAUACCAAAAACACACAAAUCCCACAGUAAAAACAGCUUAAACAUUGUAUAGUAGGGGGAUGAUAAACUAUAGAAAAUCAAUAGAACCAAAAAUGUUAAGUAUCUUUUAUAGAUUACAAGAUAAUUACAAGGACUGAAGAAACCUAUUUUAGAAUAUAAGUAUAUGCUACUAAAUUGUUACAUAACAUAGCUAGAGAUUGGAAAGGAAUAAGAAAUGACCAUGUUGUUUUUUUAGUAUGGUAGGAUUAUGAGUAAAAUGUUAAAUUUUUUUGAAAAUUUUAUGUUAAUUACAUGGAUUUAAUUUUUAGAGUCCUAAUUGACCACACAUACAAAAAGGUUAAUUGAAUGAAUAUUAAUAAAAUGGCUAUGAAGUUCUUAUCGUGGCUUGGUGGUUAACAGACCUGGCUAGUAUCCAUGAGGACUCGGUUUGAUGCCUGGCCUCGCUCAGUGGGUUAAGGAUCCAGCACUGCAAUGCACUGUGGUGUAGGUUGCAGACAUGGCUUGGAUCCCGCAUUGUUGUGGCCGUGCCCUAGCCUGGCAGCUGUAUCUCCGAUUGUACCCCUAGCCUGGGAACCUCCAUAUGCUGCAGGUGUAGCCCUAAGAAAACCAAAAAAAAAAAAAAAAAAUAAACUGCCAUUUCCUCAGGAAAAUGUAUUCAAAUUAAAUAGACAAAAUUACUCCUUAAAAAAGACAGUAAAAGUAGCCUAAGUUUUUGUGUACAUCUUCAUGUCAGUUAAGCAACAAAAUACUAAACAGGGUCAAAGGGUCAAAGGAUAUAUAUAUAUUUUUAAACAUACCUAAUUAUUAUAAAUUAGGCUCCCAGUGUUGUCUGGCAAUCCUUCCAUAUUUCCCUAGUCAACUUGAACUUUCAUGAUGGUACCUAUUUCUAUUCACCUUAGGUUUCCCAUCUCAUCAACUCUUCCUCCUUUAUAUUUAACAAAUUGACCUUGUCUCCUACUUCACAUAGAAAACAGAAGUUGUCAGACAGAAAUGCCUAAACUUGUAACAUGGAACAUGUGACUUACAUAUAAACUUAUGGAUAUCCAUAAGCAUCUCUCUUCCACCACCCUUUCCUCUUCUCCUUUCAUAACAGUACAGUAGAAGAGGUGUUCCCUUUUCUUUCUGAAGCUAAUAUUUCUUCCGGUGCCCUGGAUCCCAUCCUCCUUGACUCUGAUCAUUGCCUGUUAUUCUAUAGAUAUUUUCAACUUCUUCUCAAUUGAUUCCUUUCUCUCUUGAUAGUCCUUUUAUAGAUUUCUUUACCUCUGCCUUUACCUCUGCACAUAAUACUGUUCCUGAACCUUUUGUCCAAGGUCUUUUUUCAUUCUACACAAUCCCUGGUGAUCUCAUCUUUAACAUGUCUUCAGUUUCUCAUUAUUGCAGAAUACUCCCAAGUUUUUGAUUCUAGCCAGAUUCUCUCCACUUAGUGUCUGACUGCUAAAGCCAAAUGCCUGGUAAGAUAUCUCCAAUUGAGACUGCACAGGCAUUUCAGAUUUAAUGUAUAAAUUAUUGACUCAGUUCCUCACACUUUAUAUCUAUCUGAACCUUCUGUCUGCUUCUUCACUUCUCCUGCCUCAGUUUUGGCCUUGCUGAUAUCUUGUUUGAGCUUUUAUAGAAAACCUUCUAAAAUUUCUGUCUUUAUAAGCUCCCAUUUUCUCCAGUUAAUGCAUUCAUAGCCCUCUUACUCUAUGACAUACUUAAUGUUAUCUGUUUGCUUAAGUCCUUUCAGAAGAUCUCCAGGAAACUCUCAAAACCUUGCACUUAUUUACAAGUACUCUUUACCUAUACCAAACUAUGUGGAUUUUCUGAAGUACUCAUUUUAAAAAUUCCUCUGUACUUUUCUUCUGCUUCAAAAUGUUUUUACAUGUAUUCUCUCCUUAAUAAAUUCCUACUUAUCACUUAAAAAUUUUUUAAUCCUCUGUUAGUCUUCCUCCUCCUCCUCUUCUUCUUUUGUUAAUCCUUUCUUUAACCUUUUCUCCUACUAAUCAAGCAAAGAUAGUCUGUCUACCUGAUGUGCUUCAUUGGGAGUUUAUGCAGACUGCCAUGCUGGUAAUUCUUGUCACUCUGUAUUGAAUCUCUCCUAUUUAGGGUUGUAGGCUUUUGUUCACUUGACCCCUUCAUCAGACUCUGAAUUUAAUCAAAGAGGUAUACUUACCUUAAUAUCUCAAGCAGCAGGAUAAAACUUGUUAUGCUAUAAUCUUUCAGUAAUUUGGAUAGAUAGUUUGUAAAAGAUCACUUGGUUGUUGUGAGUUAGGCUUGGAACCCAGACCUCUUGACUUCAGUGUUCAUUAUCACACUGUUUCUGCAGGUUCUGUGUUACUAAGUUCUUAUGAUAAUUCUACUCUUUUUAAAGAGCCUUCUAUUAUAGUACACAGUUGUGUCUUUAUAUGCCUUAUUAACAGUAUUAGUAUUAUUUUAAUGAAAUGUGUGUACUUUUUAACUUUGAUUCUAGUAUCAUCUUAGUUGUCAUUUUAGAGAAUAUGGUUCCUUCUUCUGGAUUAACUCUACAGGUUUUUUCAUUGUUUAAAUACUGAAAUACUAGAUCUUUUGCAGUGUCAUGAGUUUCCAUAUUUCCCUUUGUGCUAACAGCUAUGUUUAUUGUGACACUUUAUUCAUUUAGUCUGGUUGUUUCCAUGUAAUUGGUACACAGAAUUUAAUGCUUCAUACAUUUCUUGAGCUUUAUUCUUCACAGUCAGAUCUUUCUAAAGUCUGCACCCAUUGUGGUAGUGGUAUUAUAUCCCAUAGAUAAAAUUGUUCACUUUAUAAAGUUCCUAGAUCUUCUUGUUCUGAUCUUUGGCUGUCUUAAAUCCCUGGAAACAGUUUUUUGGUAACCAUGUGUAAGUUAUUUUAAUAUUUAAUGCUAUCCUCGGCUAAUCUAACCAAAGUUUGUUUUAUUAUGCCCUUAUUUUAACUCUUUGGUGAAUGAAAAUGAUAGAAAUUUAGAAAAAAAUUAAAACGUGAAUAACCAGUUUCUUCAGCCUUUCUUUCAUAGAUACUACAUCAGUUAUAUAGUUCUUUAUGGUUUGUCUUUGAACCUUAUCUGAAUACUGCCUAGUUUCUUUAAAAGUUAAAAUUCAACGUGCCACAGAUGCG